CGGACUGGUGAGUAACACUCGGCCCUCUGCCCUCGGGAGGGGGAUAACGGCUGGAAACGGCCGCUAAUACCCCAUAUGGCGAGAGGUGAAAUGAAUUUCGCCUGACGAUGAUCUCACGUCUGAUUAGCUGGUUGGAAAGGCAAAGGCCUACCCAAGCUUCAAUCGGUAUCUGGUCUGAAAGGAUGAUCAGCCACCCGGGAACUGACACACAGCCCAAACUCCUGCGGGAGGGAGCAAUGGGGAAUUUUCCGCAAUGGGCGAAAGCCUGACGGAGCAACGCCGCAUGAGGGAUGAAGGCCUCUGGGCUGUAUUCCUCUUUUAUCAAGGAAGAAGAUCUGACGGUACUUGAUGAAUAACCCACUGCUAAUUCCGUGCCACCAUCCGCGGUAAUACGGGAGUGGCAGGCGUUAUCCGGAAUUAUUGGGCGUAAAGCGUCCGCUUGCGGUCUUACAAGUCUGUCGUUAAAGCUUGGAGCUUAACUCCAUUUCAACGAUGGAAACUGUGAGAGUGGAGUGGGGUAAGGGCAUAGGGAAUUCCCGGUGUAACGGUGAAAUGCGUAGAUAUCGGGAAGAACACCAAUGGCCAAUGCUCUCUGCUGGGCCAUACCUGACGCUCAUGGACGAAAGACCGGGGAGCAAAAGGGAUUAGAGUCCUCUGUAGUC
rnacentral:rRNA from 1 species